rnacentral:rRNA from 1 species
CGUUUGACCUCGGAUCAGGUAGGGAUACCCGCUGAACUUAAGCAUAUCAAUAAGCGGAGGAAAAGAAACCAACAGGGAUUGCCCUAGUAACGGCGAGUGAAGCGGCAACAGCUCAAAUUUGAAAUCUGGCUCUUUCAGAGUCCGAGUUGUAAUUUGCAGAGGGCGCUUUGGCUUUGGCAGCGGUCCAAGUUCCUUGGAACAGGACGUCACAGAGGGUGAGAAUCCCGUACGUGGUCGCUAGCUAUUGCCGUGUAAAGCCCCUUCGACGAGUCGAGUUGUUUGGGAAUGCAGCUCUAAAUGGGAGGUAAAUUUCUUCUAAAGCUAAAUAUUGGCCAGAGACCGAUAGCGCACAAGUAGAGUGAUCGAAAGAUGAAAAGCACUUUGGAAAGAGAGUCAAACAGCACGUGAAAUUGUUGAAAGGGAAGCGCUUGCAGCCAGACUUGCUUGCAGUUGCUCAUCCGGGCUUUUGCCCGGUGCACUCUUCUGCAGGCAGGCCAGCAUCAGUUUGGGCGGUGGGAUAAAGGUCUCUGUCACGUACCUUCCUUCGGGUUGGCCUUAUAGGGGAGACGCCAUACCACCAGCCUGGACUGAGGUCCGCGCAUCUGUUAGGAUGCUGGCGUAAUGGCUGUAAGCGGCCCGUCUUGAAACACGGACCAAGGAGUCUAACAUCUAUGCGAGUGUUUGGGUGUCAAGCCCGAGCGCGUAAUGAAAGUGAACGGAGGUGGGAACCCGCAAGGGUGCACCAUCGACCGAUCCUGAAGUUUACGGAAGGAUUUGAGUAAGAGCAUGGCUGUUGGGACCCGAAAGAUGGUGAACUAUGCUUGAAUAGGGUGAAGCCAGGGGAAACUCUGGUGGAGGCUCGCAGCGGUUCUGACGUGCAAAUCGAUCGUCAAAUUUGGGCAUAGGGGCGAAAGACUAAUCGAACUAUCUAGUAGCUGGUUCCUGCCGAAGUUUCCCUCAGGAUAGCAGUAACGUAUUCA